GCCAGACUCCUACGGGAGGCAGCAGUGAGGAAUAUUGGUCAAUGGGCGGGAGCCUGAACCAGCCAAGUCGCGUGAGGGAAGACGGUCCUACGGAUUGUAAACCUCUUUUGCCGGGGAGCAACGGGGUCCUUGCGAGGGCCCAAUGAGAGUACCCGGAGAAAAAGCAUCGGCUAACUCCGUGCCAGCAGCCGCGGUAAUACGGAGGAUGCGAGCGUUAUCCGGAUUUAUUGGGUUUAAAGGGUGCGCAGGCGGAGGUGCAAGUCAGUGGUCAAAUUGCGGGGCUCAACCCCGUACUGCCGUUGAAACUGCAUCCCUUGAGUGCGCGAGAAGUACGCGGAAUGCGCGGUGUAGCGGUGAAAUGCAUAGAUAUCGCGCAGAACUCCGAUUGCGAAGGCAGCAUGCCGGCUCCACACUGACGCUGAGGCACGAAAGCGUGGGUAUCGAACAGGAUUAGAUACCCCCGUAAAG
rnacentral:rRNA from 1 species